GGAGUCUAGCAUGUGCGCAAGUCAUUGGGACUUGAUAAACCUAAAGGCGAAAUGAAAGUAAAUGCGUGCCUUGUGCACGCAUAGGGAAGAUGGGUAACGCACGUCGUUGCCUCGCAUUCCCGGGGCGUCUCGUUCUCAUUGCGAGAAGAGGCGCACCUAGAGCGUACACGCUGGGACCCGAAAGAUGGUGAACUAUGCCUGGUCAGGACGAAGUCAGGGGAAACCCUGAUGGAGGUCCGUAGCGAUUCUGACGUGCAAAUCGAUCGUCGGAACUGGGUAUAGGGGCGAAAGACUAAUCGAACCAUCUAGUAGCUGGUUCCCUCCGAAGUUUCCCUCAGGAUAGCUGGCGCUCGCUUUGCGAGUCUCAUCCGGUAAAGCGAAUGAUUAGAGGCAUUGGGGUCGAAACGGCCUCAACCUAUUCUCAAACUUUAAAUGGGUGAGAUCUCCGGCUUGCUUAAAAAGUGAAGCCGUGAGAUCGGAUCAGAGUGCCAAGUGGGCCAUUUUUGGUAAGCAGAACUGGCGCUGUGGGAUGAACCAAACGCAGAGUUAAAGCGCCUAAAUCGACGCUUAUGGGAUACCAUGAAAGGCGUUGGUAACUUAAGACAGCAGGACGGUGGCCAUGGAA
rnacentral:rRNA from 1 species